AGCAGCCGCGGUAAUUCCAGCUCCAAUAGCGUAUAUUAAAGUUGUUGCAGUUAAAAAGCUCGUAGUUGAAUUUCGGGAUCAAUGCGUCGGUCGUGCCUUCGGUACGUACUAGCGUCAUUGAUUCCUCCCUUCUGAAGAUUCGUGAUGUCAUUAAUUUGGUGUUACGGGAAUCAGGACUGUUACCUUGAAAAAUUUAGAGUAGUUUAAAGCAGGCUAAACGCUUGAAUACAUUAGCAUGGAAUAAUGAAAUAGGACGUUCGAACCUAUUUGUUGGUUCUAGGAUCGACGUAAUGAUUAAUAGGGAUAGUUGGGGGCAUUAGUAUUCAAUUGUCAGAGGUGAAAUUCUUGGAAUUUAUUGAAGACUAACUACUGCGAAAGCAUUUGCCAAGGAUGUUUUCAUUAAUCAAGAACGAAAGUUAGGGGAUCGAAGACGAUCAGAUACCGUCGUAGUCUUAACCAUAAACUAUGCCGACUAGGGAUCGGAUGAUGUUAAUUUAUAAUGACUCA
rnacentral:rRNA from 1 species